GACGAACGCUGGCGGCGUGCUUAACACAUGCAAGUCGAACGGAAAGGCCUGCUUUCCCUUGUGGAUUGCGGGUACUCGAGUGGCGAACGGGUGAGUAACACGUGAGUGAUCUGCCCCCAACUUGGGUAUAAGCCUGGGAAACUGGGUCUAAUUCCCGAUAGGACUGCAGGGUGGUGCCUGUGGUGGAAAACGAUUUUCUAGUGGUUGGGGAUGAGCUCGCGGCCUAUCAGCUUGUUGGUGGGGUAAUGGCCUACCAAGGGGGCGACGGGGAGCCGGGCUGGGAGGGUGGACGGCCGCAUUGGGACUGAGAUACGGCCCCGACUCCUACGGGAGGCAGCAGUGGGGAAUAUUGCACGAUGGGCGGAAGCCUGAUGCAGCGACGCCGCGUGGGGGAUGACGGCCUUCGGGUUGUAAACUCCUUUCGACCGCGAGGAAGCCACCUGGUUGGAAGGGUGGUGACGGUAGUGGUAGAAGAAGCACCGGCUAACUACGUG
rnacentral:rRNA from 1 species